rnacentral:sRNA from 1 species
UGGCAGCGAUGGCACUGCGCCGGUCCUC